rfam:Lupinus angustifolius cultivar Tanjil contig_1835, whole genome shotgun sequence.
AGGUGCGAUCAUACCAACACUAAUGCACGGGACUCCAUCAGAACUCUACAGUUUAGCGUCCUUGGUUGAGAGUAGUACGAGGAGGGGUGACCUCCUGGGAAGUCCUCGUGUUGCACCUC